rnacentral:rRNA from 1 species
UACGAAGGGGGCUAGCGUUGUUCGGAAUUACUGGGCGUAAAGGGCGCGUAGGCGGCCAUUCAAGUUAGGUGUGAAAGCCCUGGGCUCAACCUAGGAAUUGCACUUGAUACUGUUUGGCUCGAGACCGGAAGAGGUAAGUGGAACUGCGAGUGUAGAGGUGAAAUUCGUAGAUAUUCGCAAGAACACCAGUGGCGAAGGCGGCUCACUGGUCCGGUACUGACGCUGAGGUGCGAAAGCGUGGGGAGCAAACAGG